AAUCUUUGGGAGCUUGCUCCCAAAAGUUAGCGGCGGACGGGUGAGUAACACGUGGGCAACCUGCCUAUAAGACUGGGAUAACUUCGGGAAACCGGAGCUAAUACCAGAUAAUUCUUUUCUACUCAUGUAGGAAAGCUGAAAGACGGUUUACGCUGUCACUUAUAGAUGGGCCCGCGGCGCAUUAGCUAGUUGGUGAGGUAACGGCUCACCAAGGCGACGAUGCGUAGCCGACCUGAGAGGGUGAUCGGCCACACUGGGACUGAGACACGGCCCAGACUCCUACGGGAGGCAGCAGUGGG
rnacentral:misc_RNA from 1 species